GCUGGCGGCGUGCCUAUACUGCAAGUCGAGCGGAUUCGAUGGGAGCUUGCUCCCUGAUAUCAGCGGCGGACGGGUGAGUAACACGUGGGUAACCUGCCUGUAAGACUGGGAUAACUCCGGGAAACCGGGGCUAAUACCGGAUAAUUUAGUUCCUCGCAUGAGGAACUGUUGAAAGGUGGCUUCGGCUACCACUUACAGAUGGACCCGCGGCGCAUUAACUAGUUGGUGAGGUAACGGCUCACCAAGGCAACGAUGCUUAGCCAACCUGAGAGGGUGAUCGGCCACACUGGGACUGACACACGGCCCAAACUCCUACGGGAGGCAGCAGUAGGGAAUCUUCCGCAAUGGACGAAAGUCUGACGGAGCAACGCCGCGUGAGUGAAGAAGGUUUUCGGAUCGUAAAACUCUGUUGUUAGGGAAAAACAAGUGCCGUUCGAAUAGGGCGGCACCUUGACGGUACCUAACCAGAAAGCCACGGCUAACUACGUGCCAGCAGCCGCGGUAAUACAUAUGUGGCAAGCGUUGUCCGGAAUUAUUGGGCGUAAAGCGCGCGCAGGUGGUUUCUUAAGUCUGAUGUGAAAGCCCACGGCUCAACCGUGGAGGGUCAUUGGAAACUGGGGAACUUGAGUGCAUAAGAAGAAAGUGGAAUUCCAAGUGUAGCGGUGAAAUGCAUAGAUAUUUGGAGGAACACCAGUGGCGAAGGCGACUUUCUGGUCUGUAACUGACACUGAGGCGCGAAAGCGUGGGGAGCAAACAGGAUUACAUACCCUGGUAGUCCACGCCGUAAACGAUGAGUGCUAAGUGUUAGAGGGUUUCCGCCCUUUAGUGCUGCAGCUAACGCAUUAAGCACUCCGCCUGGGGAGUACCGUCGCAAGACUGA
rnacentral:rRNA from 1 species